AGUUCUUUCGGUAUGACACAACAUCCUGCCGCGAUGUUGUGCGACCUGCAGUGUCAACCGAAAGUACA
rfam:Sclerotinia sclerotiorum 1980 scaffold_18 genomic scaffold, whole genome shotgun sequence.